GACGAACGCUGGCGGCGUGCUUAACACAUGCAAGUCGAGCGGUAAGGCCCUUCGGGGUACACGAGCGGCGAACGGGUGAGUAACACGUGAGUAAUCUGCCCAUCACUUCGGGAUAACUCCGGGAAACCGGUGCUAAUACCGAAUAUGACCACUUCAGGCAUCUGAUGGUGGUGGAAAGUUCCGGCAGUGAUGGAUGAGCUCGCGGCCUAUCAGCUUGUUGGUGGGGUAGUGGCCUACCAAGGCUUCGACGGGUAGCCGGCCUGAGAGGGUGACCGGCCACACUGGGACUGAGACACGGCCCAGACUCCUACGGGAGGCAGCAGUGGGGAAUAUUGGACAAUGGGCGAAAGCCUGAUCCAGCAACGCCGCGUGAGGGAUGACGGCCUUCGGGUUGUAAACCUCUUUCAGCAGGGACGAAGCGCAAGUGACGGUACCUGCAGAAGAAGCACCGGCCAACUACGUG
rnacentral:rRNA from 1 species